CAAAGCCAGGUCAGCAACAGAGGACACACCAGUGGACAGACCAUAGGUUAGGACCAGGUCCAGGGACACACCAGUGGACAGGCCAUAGGUUAGGACCAGGUCCAGGGUGGGUCCUCUGGUGUGAGUCGACUGUGUUACAUGCUGUUUAAAAUCUAUACUGUUUAAAAGGUUUCAAACUACUAGCGUAGGAAUCAUCACUGUUGUUGAUAUGCAAGU